UACGUAGGGGGCAAGCGUUGUCCGGAUUUAUUGGGCGUAAAGAGCGUGUAGGCGGUUUGGUAGGUCCGCUGUGAAAACUCGAGGCUCAACCUCGAGACGCCGGUGGAAACCAUCAGACUAGAGUCCGGAAGAGGAGAGUGGAAUUCCUGGUGUAGCGGUGAAAUGCGCAGACAUCAGGAAGAACACCCGUGGCGAAGGCGGCUCGCUAGGACGGUACUGACGGUGAGACACGAAAGCGUGGGGAGCGAACAGG
rnacentral:rRNA from 1 species